GAUGAAGAACGUAGCGAAAUGCGAUAAGUAAUGUGAAUUGCAGAAUUCAGUGAAUCAUCGAAUCUUUGAACGCACAUUGCGCCCGCCAGCAUUCUGGCGGGCAUGCCUGUUCGAGCGUCAUUUCAACCCUCGAGCCCCCCCGGGGGCCUCGGUGUUGGGGGACGGCACACCAGCCGCCCCCGAAAUGCAGUGGCGACCCCGCCGCAGCCUCCCCUGCGUAGUAGCACACACCUCGCACCGGAGCGCGGAGGCGGUCACGCCGUAAAACGCCCAACUUUCUUAGAGUUGACCUCGGAUCAGGUAGGAAUACCCGCUGAACUUAAGCAUAUCAUAAGCGGAGGA
rnacentral:misc_RNA from 1 species